UUCUGAUUGUUUUACUGCGACUAAGAGAGAAUUUCUUGCUGCGACUAGCGGCUUUCAACCUUUUUUUUACCCUCAGGGGUGACGUCACCCGACUUCCAAGAAAUCAAGUCAAGAGCGAACACAUUCAGUUUUGACAUACACCCUUGCUAACAAUGCCGACAAAUCUUGAGCUUCUAAAUGCUGGUUUCUCUGCUAUACUCGGUGCCAGGUUUACCUCCGGCCCGAAUGUAGAAAGCAUAGCUUCCGUGAAAGAGUUUUCAAUCCAUGAUUUGUUCCAUCAAACAUUUGACGAGGUACACAAAGAUCAAGAUUUCGAGAUCCAAUUUGCUCAUUUUGAAGAUGAUGACCAGAUCGUAAGCAACCCGCACAUCGCUGUGUUAACUCUUACUGGAGAAAGAAUUCUUAUCCCGUUCAAGUCGCCCAAGCACACAAUCAUAGAGGUAAAAUACUUGAUUGAAGCAAAAGGUGGAUAUCCUAAAGAUCAGCAAAGAUUAGUAUUCAACGGCCAAGUUCUAAGCGAUGAAGAUACAUUUGAAAAGGUGGGGAUUUUUGCCGGUGCGACCUUACACCUGAUUGUCCGUCUGCUAGGAGGUGAAUGCCCGACCUACCGCCUAAAAAAUGACGAGCUUGAUCUACCCUACGACUACGACUUCACUAAUACAAAAGACGACGGCAAAACGUACAUGAGAGGAGGCUUCGAGUACAAGAGGCCGUAUGGCUGGAAACGAGUCGCUAUCAAGGUACUAGGGAGGUAUGAGUCAAGUGAUUGGCUCGGUCCAAAUGGAAUCCGAACAAGCCAAGUUCCCAGAGAAUGGCCUGUAGCCUAUCAUGGGACGAAUUUCACAAAUGCAAACUCAAUCCUCCAGAAAGGUCUCAAACCAGGAGACAGAGCGUUAUACGAAAAAGGGGUGUACACAAGCCCAAGUCUCCAGAUGGUCGAGAAAUACUACGCGCAAGAGUUCAAGUACGAGGGGAAGAGCUACAAGAUAGUGUUCCAAAGUCGUGUUAACCCGGAUCAAAGCAAUGGCCAUCUUAAAAUCAUCCCGGCGUCGAAAACAGGGGUCGGCGCAGAUUACUGGUUGUCACCUAAACAGAACGUCAGAAAAGGUCCAUAUGAUGUGCGUCCAUACGGGAUCCUUAUCAAGCAAACGUAAUAGCUCUUUUCAGCCACACCGUAGUUAUUGUUUUCAUCUAAUAUUGGAAGGCACAUAAUGCGUUAAAACUCGAAAUAACCAUCUUUACUUACCAAAUUCAAUCAAAAAGAACGCAAUGGCUUCUCUUAAUCAACCGAUGGAAAUGGAUGCUUCUUCACGGUUGUUACUCUGCUAGGAUGACAAAAUGGCGGCUGAAAGAGGCUGUCAUUAUUGUAUGCUUGCAUUGUUUUGUAACGGUUUUUUUUUUCUUUGGAAAAAAAUAAUGCUUACUUGUUACUGUGCCAUCAAACGUGCGUGUGUGUGUAUCAAAAUAUAUUUUCAACAAGUUCUCUUUUGUCAGUUAAUUCAGCAGGUCAAUAAACCAACAAUUGUCAAUAGGCUUUUGCCCGCGUGACCCUAACAAAUCUUUCCCUGAUAGCAGAGGCCUCUUUUCUCAAAACGGUCCUUAUUAUUCUUCCAAAAUAACUGCCACAACCCACUUAAACACGAAGGCGCGGUAUAAAACGCCGCUUCCCAGGGAAGCAUCGGCUUAUUUGUCAAUCAACCGCCGUGGAGUGAGGAUCAAAUUCAAGAUGGCGGCAAAAGUCAAUUACAAAAUGCAGAGGGGAGAGGUUUCAAAGCGCUUUCUGAUGUAUAAAAAUGCCAAUUCUACUUUCUAGUCCGAUAGAAUGUGUAAAUAAGGAAACUCAGUAGAAAUAAAGCUACGAAACCAUCGUGAUUUACGCAAAAAAAAAUACAAGCAAACGCAUGACCUGAAAACAACGAUUGCAAACCUCGAAAAAAGCUAUACCCAAGAAGCAAGUCAUAGUGACAUCUGAAUAAUCAACAAGAUAUAUUCCUCAAGAAAAAGCAGAUACAUAGAAAUAUACAGUCUUACAUUUUCCAUGGAUUUUCAAUCAUAAACAUUCCUUUUUUAAGGGAAACAUGUUCCGUUGUUAUCAAAUUGAUUUAUGUGUUACUGAAGUGUUUAGCUACCAGUCAUAUUUUAAAAACUGCAUAAUAAAUUAUACUUUUGAAUAAACCAAAA